GCGCUCGUAGCUCAGUUGGAUAGAGCAUUGGAUUCCUAAUCCAAAGGUCGCAGGUUCGAAUCCUGCCGGGCGUA
rnacentral:tRNA from 1 species